rnacentral:rRNA from 1 species
GACGAACGCUGGCGGCGUGCCUAGCACAUGCAAGUCGAACGAGAGCACCCGGUGCUUGCGCUGGGCAAUCGAGGGGCGAACGGGUGAGUAACACGUGGGUAACCUGCCUAUCAGAGGGGGAUAACAUCCGGAAACGGGUGCUAAAACCGCAUAGGUCUUCGAACCGCGUGGUUUGAAGAGGAAAUGAGGCGCAUGGUUCUGCAGAUGGAUGGACCCGCGGUGCUUUAGCUGGUGGGUGAGGUAACGGCUCACCAAGGCGGUUAUGCACAGCCGACCACAGGGAGUGGUCGCCGACAUGGGAGGUGAGCCGCGGCCCAUACUCCUGCGGGAGGCAGCAGUAGGGAAUCUUCCGCAAUGGAGGGGAGUCUGACGGAGCGACGGCGCGUGAGUGAAGAAGGUUCUCGGAUCGUAAAACUGUGUUGUUAGUGGAGAACAAGUGCUGGAGUAGCUGUUGGCUGCUUGACGGUAUCUGAUCAGGAAGCCCCGGCUAACUACGUG